CGCGGUGCAUGGGGCUAGAACUCAGGGCCCAGCAGGUCUGACAAUGCAGGUUUCCCCGCUCGCCUGUUGGGUUUUUGAAACGCCCUCAGCGGGGUUUUCCUCCUAAUUCUGGUUUGGAGGAGCCAUCUCUCUCCAUCCCGUCUGCCAGCGGGGUUUGCUUCACACACAGACGUGGGCAGAUGGCAUCGGGGACACAGGGGACCUUGGAAGAAGAUACUUUAUGUGGACGGUACUGGGACAACUGCUGAAGAAACAACAGACAUGAAGGCAUACUUGACACCAACAUAGAGAUACCCAUCCGUCACCUUUGAUCUCCCCUCCCCCAUGCCACUGAGAAAUAAUUUUUUAAAAAAUAGAAGCAAAAUGGCAAACUAGACAAUUUGAGACUUAAAUAAAAAUAGCUU
rnacentral:lncRNA from 1 species